GUAAGCGGCGAGUGAAGCGGCAAUAGCUCAAAUUUGAAAUCUGGCACCUUCGGUGUCCGAGUUGUAAUUUGAAGAAGGUAUCUUUGGUUUUGGCUCUUGUCUAUGUUCCUUGGAACAGGACGUCACAGAGGGUGAGAAUCCCGUGCGAUGAGAUGCCCAAUUCCAUGUAAAGUUCCUUCGACGAGUCGAGUUGUUUGGGAAUGCAGCUCUAAGUGGGUGGUAAAUUCCAUCUAAAGCUAAAUAUUGGCGAGAGACCGAUAGCGAACAAGUACUGUGAAGGAAAGAUGAAAAGAACUUUGAAAAGAGAGUGAAAAAGUACGUGAAAUUGUUGAAAGGGAAGGGCUUGAGAUUAGACUUGGAAUUUUCCAUUUAUGGAGCUUUCCGGGCCAGCAUCAGUUUGGAUGGCAGGAUAAUUGCGUUGGAAAGUAGCACCACUUCGGUGGUGUGUUAUAGACUUCGUCGAUACUGCCUAUCUAGACUGAGGACCGCGUCUUUGACUAGGAUGCUGGCGUAAUGAUCUUAAGCCGC
rnacentral:rRNA from 1 species